rnacentral:rRNA from 1 species
CCCUUAGAUGUUCGGGGCCGCACGCGCGCUACACUGAAGGAAUCAGCACGUCUUUCUCCUUGUCCGAAAGGACUGGGUAACCCGCUGAACCUCCUUCGUGCUAGGGAUUGGGGCUUGUAAUUCUUCCCCAUGAACGAGGAAUUCCCAGUAAGCGCGAGUCAUAAGCUCGCGUUGAUUACGUCCCUGCCCUUUGUACACACCGCCCGUCGCUACUACCGAUUGGAUGGUUUAGUGAGAUCCUCGGAUUGGUCCCGGAGCGGCCUCUGGUCGUGACGGAGUGCCGAAAAGAAUGUCGAACUUGAUCAUCUAGAGGAAGUAAAAGUCGUAACA